CCUACGGUGCGCAGCAGUCGAGAAUCAUUCACAAUGGGGGAAACCCUGAUGGUGCGACGCCGCGUGGGGGAAUGAAGGUCUUCGGAUUGUAAACCCCUGUCAUGUGGGAGCAAAUUAAAAAGAUAGUACCACAAGAGGAAGAGACGGCUAACUCUGUGCCAGCAGCCGCGGUAAUACAGAGGUCUCAAGCGUUGUUCGGAAUCACUGGGCGUAAAGCGUGCGUAGGCUGUUUCGUAAGUCGUGUGUGAAAGGCGCGGGCUCAACCCGCGGACGGCACAUGAUACUGCGAGACUAGAGUAAUGGAGGGGGGACCGGAAUUCUCGGUGUAGCAGUGAAAUGCGUAGAUAUCGAGAGGAACACUCGUGGCGAAGGCGGGUUCCUGGACAUUAACUGACGCUGAGGCACGAAGGCCAGGGGAGCGAAAGGGAUUAGAUACCCUAGUAGUC
rnacentral:rRNA from 1 species